UUCAAUACUAUCGUUAAACAUAGUGUGCACUUUUCUCUUAGUAAGACGCCGUGAUCCAUUAGAAAUUGGUACAUGCAGUAAUGUAGUGUAUAAUGGGUCAUCAAUAGGCCAAUAUGAAGUUUAUUCGGAACAAAUGGCAUAAUCUUAUACGGUUGUGUGUAUUGUCUGGUAAGCAUAUUGUGUUUCCUGUUAUGACUGUCUGAUGGAUCUUAAAGAUUGUAUCAUUGAUGUCGUAAGGCAUCAGGUUAUUUUCGAAUAAUUUAUGAUAUAUAUCCGAUCAACGGUGGUUAAAUUUGGGAUACCUUUUGGACCCGUCUUGAAACACGGACCAAGGAGUCUAUCUAGUAUGCGAGUAAAUGGAUAGCUUAUGAAAUUCAUUUGCGUAAGAAACUUGACUGUUGUGUGUGGGAUUACGAGUAUGUUUGUCUCCUUCAUUGGUGACCAUUCUCCUCCAUCCCGGGGUAUUUUCAUCAACAUAUGCCGUUAAAAGUAUAUGGAAAAUAUACCAUGAGCAUACUGGAUGCGACCCGAAAGAUGGUGAACUAUGCCUGAUCAGGUUGAAGUCAGGGGAAACCGUGAUGGAGGACCGAAGCAGUUCUGACGUGCAAAUCG
rnacentral:rRNA from 1 species